rnacentral:lncRNA from 1 species
GGGUGGAGGGGGAGCAUCACAGUGAGGUCUUUGAUAAAGAAUAAAGGAAAGACGCAACAAACCAGAAUCUUCUGCAGCAAAGCUUUAUUGCUUACUCAGGAGCAAGAGAGGAAGAGCACGGCAGAGAGAGGCAGAGAGAGAGAGAGAGGCAGAGAGCAGAGGAAGAGAGCAGAGGAAAAGAUGAAGAGAAAGAGACGAAGAGACAAGAAAGAGAGUGCCAGAACCCCGUCCCUUUUAAGGAGAAUUAUCCUCCGCCUAGGACGUGUCACUCCCUGAUUGGCUGCAGCCCAUCGGCCCAGUUGUCAUUACGAGAAAGGCAGAGCACAUGGCAGGAAAACUGCCCCUGCACAUGUGCAGAUUAUUUACUACUUAGAACACAGCUGUCAGCGCCAUCUUGUAAUGGCAAAUGUGGGUGCGGCUCCCCACAAUUUUCUGUACUCCAUUCCUCUGUUGAGGGACAUCUGUUUUUUUUUUCCAGCUUCUGGCUAUUAUAAAUAAGGCUGCUAUGAACAUAGUGGAUCAUGUGUCCUUAUUACAACUUGGACCAUCUUCUGGUAUAUGCCCAAGAGUGGUAUUGCUGGAUCUUCUGGUAGAACUUUGUCAGUUUUCUAAGGAACCACCAAACUGAUUUCCAGAGUUGUUGUACCAGCUUGCACUCCCACCAGCAAUGGAGGAUGUUCUUCUUUCUUCACAUCCUCGCCAGCUUCUCCUGUCACCUGAGUUUUUGAUCUUAGCUGUUCUGACUGGUGUGAGGUGGAAUCUCAGGGUUGUUUUGAUUUGCAUUUCCCUGAUGAUUAAGGACAAGUUGCUCUUAGGCCUUGCCUCUCUCAAAGCAUUGACCUGUGUAUGGACCUUCUUAUUGAUUAUCAUACCCAGUUGUUUCAGUAGCUUUCAGUUCCCCUUGAUUUGUGUUUCUUUAGUGAUAAAAUUGUAUAGUUUUAUUGUAUUUCUUGUAGUAGUAAGAUAAGUUUUAAUACAUUAUUCAUUAAAUGUUGUAGUAAGAUACAAGUUAAAAAAAAAAACACCACACAUACACCCACACACGCAUUAAACAUAGCAGAGUAUUGAGUACCCAAGAGCAAUUAUCAGACUAGCUAGAACAAGAUUUGCAAACUGUUUGAACAGAAAUUUCUUUCUUAGGGCUUUUUGGUGUGUAUUCUGAUUAUUUUAUUAUAAUUUUCUUUGAAGAAUUCCUUUCUCAUGUAGCUAAUGAAGGUCUGAGGGCUAUAUAUAACUGUAUUAAAGACUUCAAUAUAGAAAAAAUGUAGAAAAAAACUGACACAAUGAUUUGAAAAUAGUUUGGGAAUAUAUAUAUAUAUAUAUAUAUGAUAUAUGCUUAACUUGCAAUGUUGUAUAUAGUGUGAACCAGAUAAUACAAGAGUAUUGGGACAGCAGUCUCUUUAUUCACUUGGU